rnacentral:tRNA from 1 species
UGACCCCUUAGUUCAAUGGAUAUAACAACUCCCUCCUAAGGAGUAGUUACUGGUUCGAUUCCAGUAGGGGUCAUC